GAACUGAAACAUCUAAGUACCCGGAGGAAAAGAAAGAAACAUCGAUUCCGUAAGUAGCGGCGAGCGAACGCGGAGGAGCCUAAACCGGUGUGCGUGCAUGCCGGGGUCAUGGACUGCAUUUAAGAUUCAGUAAGGUUAACAGAACGGUUUUGGGAAAGCCGGCCAGAGAGGGUGAAAGCCCCGUACGUGAAAACCAAGCUGACUGAGCAGGAUCCGGAGUACCACGAGACACGAGGAACCUUGUGGGAAGUAAGGGGGACCACCCCCUAAGGCUAAAUACUACUUAGUGACCGAUAGCGCA
rnacentral:rRNA from 1 species